GGGAGGGAGGGAAUAGGAUAGAGUCUGAGACGGUUGGAAGAAACUUCAUUGAAGGCUCAUGUUGGUGGGUUUGUCUAGCCAUGGGUGAAGCUGGGGAGAAAUUUAUGGGAUCAUGAGUUCAUGACUCUUUUCCCGUUUACACAAGUCUUACGGGGUAUUUGUUUCUUUAGUCCCUCCUAAAAUUUCUGUCACAUCGAAUGUCUAGAUACUAAUUAGGAGUAUUAAAUAUAGACUAAUUAUAAAACCAAUUGCACAGAUGGAGACUAAUUUGCGAGACGAAUCUAUUAAGCCUAAUUAGUUCAUGAUUUGACAAUGUGAUGCUACAGUAAACAUGUGCUAAUGAUGGAUUAAUUAGGCUUAAUAGAUUCGUCUCGUGAAUUAGCCUCCAUCUGUGUAAUUAGUUUUAUAAUUAGCUCAUAUUUAGUCCUCCUAAUUAGCCUCCGAAUAUUCGAUGUGACAUAAAUUUUAGGAGGUCCUAAAGAUCCAAA
rnacentral:lncRNA from 1 species